UACGAAGGUCCCAAGCGUUGUUCGGAAUCACUGGGCGUAAAGGGAUCGUAGGCGGCUUGGUAAGUCAGAUGUGAAAUCCCGGGGCUCAACCCCGGAACUGCAUCCGAUACUGCCAUGCUUGAGGGUUGGAGAGGUAGCUGGAAUUAUCGGUGUAGCAGUGAAAUGCGUGGAUAUCGAUAGGAACACUCGUGGCGAAGGCGAGCUACUGGACAACAUCUGACGCUGAGGCUCGAAGGCUAGGGGAGCAAAAGGG
rnacentral:rRNA from 1 species